UGGCUCUUAAAAGAGCCUUUGGGGUGUAUGUAGCUGCUGUUGACAAAAGAGGGAAAAGGGAGAAAGGACCAAAUAUGAGUAAAAUAUGUCUGUACAAAUUCAAAUGUUUUCAGUUCCAUCAGUGAUUAUUGAUUAAUUAAUAUGUUAUGACGAAACUGGCAAAUCAGAGAUGCAGAAUUCCAUUCUAGUCUAUUAAUUAAUUUAUUUAAAUAAGUAUCCUUUUAAUGUCUUCAUUAAGAUUAUAACUUGCCACAUAAAGUUGCUUUAAUUGAUAUAUUGAUCAAUUAGCAUGUUAUGAUGAAUCUGGCAAAUCAGUAGGUUGACUUACAACAAUCAGAUGGCAAUCAACACUGAGAAAAAAGAGAGAGAAGAGAAUAAAUUAUUUGCAUGGUAUAAAUUCUCAAAGUUUCUCAAAGGCUCUGAUGAAUACAUAAUCCACAUUAAGAUGCAUUUAGAAUAAUAACAACAAUACUACUACUACUACUACUACUAAUAAUAAUAAUGAUAACUAUUAUUGUUAUUAUUGUUAUAGUUGAACAAAAUGAGAGAUGAUCUAUUUCAUUAUAGAGGGUUUAUGAGUCUCUCUCUCUCUCUCUCUCUCUCGGUGCCAGCGUGUGUGAGAGAGAGAGUGAGAGGGAGCUCACGCGCUCGCAGUCAAACCUGUGACAACGCAAUAUUUUCCAUACAAAUUAAAGAUAUUAUGAAGCAUAGUUGUAUAACUUAUCUAUUUUCAAUGAACGUUAUCAUGACAGAUAACUCAAACGAAAGAGCGUCUCUCAAACGGAGCGUAUUGGCUCCAUUAGCAAUGAAGUCGUCACACCGAUGUAACCAACGUCUUCUCACUGACGUCACUCACUUCUAAAACUUGUCUGCCGCCAUCUUGAGUUACCUCAGGACGAAAAAAGACGCCAUCAAGAGGGCAGACUGGACACCAACAGCAAACACUCGUCUGUGCAGUGCUCAUUUUUUCUGUGGUUUGAGAGUCCCACUUUGUUAAAUAUAAUUGAGCAACCAUAGGUGGCGAUAAGCACGCGAGCAGGCAUUGAGGCAAUGGAUGAAGAUGAGCCAGCUAGCUGCGCUGAACGUGAUCAUUGUUGAUGGUUGAGAGUGAGAUGUGCUUUGGGAAACCAUCAUUCUCUUCAAUGGCUUCACAAAAUUCCGACUGAAAAUUUACUGAACAAAGAGUGAAGUAGCAAAGGUAAGGUUUUAAACUUCAGUUCAGUGAUACUGAACAAUAACUCUUCUGUGGUGUACGAGGAGAGGAUGUACAAACUGCAAGUAAUGAUGGCGAGCCAACCCAGACUGUGGCUUUCAUCUUUGUUUCAACUGUUCCUGCAAAGGCGACCUGUUACACAGCGGAUUCUCUGUAAACUGAUACCAAACAGUUGGAGUAUCCGGAUCUGUUUUUAACUGAACAAGGCAUCGAUUUCUUCCAUUCUUCUACCAAUUUUUUUUUUUUCUGAAUUGGAAAUCUUUUUUCUUCAACAUCUUCCUGAACUGAAUUGAAUUGUAUUCCACGACAAGAACAGAAAUUAAAUGGAAUUUAAGUACCACACAUUAUAAUUGUAUUUUCAUUUCAUGUACAGCAUAAAUUUUGUGUAUUGCUUGUCUGUCUAACAGUAAAGUGCUGACUUUUUUUAUUUGAAACUUUUUUUUAUUUUAAAACUUCAUGACAACCUAAAUCUGUCCUAAUAGCAUCACUGUUGUGUUGGAGAACACACAUUAUAACUUCCUUCAACUGUCGGUCAUAGCGGGCUUGUGGGCAUCUUCUGAAAAAAAAAAAAAAUCUUAGAGAAAUGUUGCAAAAAAGUAUCCCAUAUAAUUUCAUUCUAGAAAGGCAUUUAUAUAAUAUAAUUGUAUGUAGUCUUACAAUUGAUUCCACUUAUGUUACAGUUAUCAGGUGAUGGAUUCAGCACUGUAAAAUUGUCAAGAAGUAUCUGCAAAUAAAUAUUAAGCACAUUGUGA